rnacentral:rRNA from 1 species
AUUGAACGCUGCGGCAUGCCUUACACAUGCAAGUCGAACGGCAGCACGGGAGCAAUCCUGGUGGCGAGUGGCGAACGGGUGAGUAAAGUAUCGGAACGUGCCCAGUCGUGGGGGAUAACGUAGCGAAGGUUACGCUAAUACCGCAUACGAUCUAUGGAUGAAAGCGGGGGAUCGCAAGACCUCGCGCGAUUGGAGCGGCCGAUAUCAGAUUAGGUAGUUGGUGGGGUAAAGGCUCACCAAGCCGACGAUCUGUAGCUGGUCUGAGAGGACGACCAGCCACACUGGGACUGAGACACGGCCCAGACUCCUACGGGAGGCAACAGUGGGGAAUUUUGGACAAUGGGCGCAAGCCUGAUCCAGCCAUGCCGCGUGCAGGAUGAAGGCCUUCGGGUUGUAAACUGAUUUUGUACGGAACGAGAAGGUUUGGCCUAAUACGCUGAACUCAUGACGGUACCGUAAGAAUAAGCACCGGCUAACUACGUGCCAGCAGCCGCCGCGG